GGCCAAUCAGGACGCUGGGGCCUUCCUUCGGCCAGUCCAGACUCGGCUCUUGUGGGAGUGGCCGACUCCGGUUUCCUAUCCGGUCCUCCCAAGAAGAGUGUGUUUUUCGGCCUCUUCCUUUCACUAAUAAAUGGAUGGACUCACAAUCACCACCUCUCCAGGGUUUUCUUCAUGUUUUGUGCCUAGUCAUAUUCCAUCUAGAUUGCAUUUUUGUGCAUCAACUGAUAAAAUAGAACAGAGCUACGUUCCAGGACCUCAAGAAUCCAACGCAGCACAAGGAAACAAGCAUCAUGAGCCCUCAAGACAGUUACCAUCUUAAGACCUGUAGACUCGUCUUCAAUAUCUUCAGGCAGCAGAAAGAUCAUGCUGAGCUCCCCGCCCUGUUCAUAAACUGCUAUGCUAUGACAGGCCUCCUCUGCUACAUUAUCCCACUGUGAGGCAUAGUCCUGACAUAGGACCAGAGCAAUGGGGCCCACUGGUCAUAGACUGAACUCUCCACAACUGUGGGUGAAAACUUGGCCAUUUCUCCUGAAGAACUUCUGCCAUGUGACUGUGCUGAGAACAUGGGCAUCUCCUCACAGCGCUGCAGAACGCGAGGUGCUCCGUACUUACGGGUUGGAAAUUGACUGGGCUUACAGGAACGCAUGGCCAUACCCAGCUGAUACUU